UAGUUGAGCGCUUCGCCAAACGAGGCGCAGCACACAGCUCAGUAACACGUAGCUAAUCUGCCCUUGGGACCGGAACACCCCCGGGAAACUGGGGCUAAUUCUCGAUAGGUGAAGAACUCUGGAAUGAGUCUUUGCCUAAAAGUCGUUAAGGUUAUGCUCUUUGACGACGCCCAAGGAUGAGGCCGCGACCGAUCAGGUUGUUGGUGAGGUAAUGGCUCACCAAGCCUUUUACCGGUGCGGGCCGUGAGAGCGGGGGCCCGGAGAUGGGCACUGAGACAAGGGCCCAGGCCCUACGGGGCGCAGCAGUCGCGAAAACUUUGCAAUACACGAAAGUGUGACAGGGCUAUCCCGAGUGCCAUCCGCUGAGGAAGGCUUUUACCCAGUCUAGAACGCUGGGGGAAUAAGGAGAGGGCAAGUCUGGUGUCAGCCGCCGCGGUAAUACCAGCUCUCCGAGUGGUGUGGAUGUUUAUUGGGCCUAAAGCAUCCGUAGCUGGCUAGGUUAGUCCCCUGUUAAAUCCACCGAAUUAAUCGUUGGAUUGCGGGGGAUACUGCUUGGCUAGGGGACGAGAGAGGCAGACGGUAUUUCCGGGGUAGGGGUGAAAUCCUAUAAUCCCGGGGAGACCACCAGUGGCGAAGGCUGUCUGCUAGAACGCGCCCGACGGUGAGGGAUGAAAGCUGGGGGAGCGAACCGGAUUAGAUACCCGGGUAGUCCCAGCUGUAAACGAUGCAGGCUAGGUGUUUGGACGGCCACGUGCCGUUCUAGUGCCGCAGGGAAGCUGUUAAGCCUGCCGCCUGGGGAGUACGAUCGCAAGAUUGAAACUUAAAGGAAUUGGCGGGGGAGCACCACAAGGGGUGAAGCUUGCGGUUUAAUUGGAUUCAACGCCGGA
rnacentral:rRNA from 1 species